rnacentral:misc_RNA from 1 species
AAGUCGUAACAAGGUCUCCGUUGGUGAACCAGCGGAGGGAUCAUUACCGAGUACUAUAACUCAUAACCCUUUGUGAACCUUCAUACCUGUUGCUUCGGCGGACCGGUUAACCAAAACUGGGCGCGACCGCCGGGGGGCCAGCACCCCUGGAGAGCGUCCGCCGACGGCCCAACCACAAACGCUUGUACGAAAAUCUGUCUGAAUUGACUUGAUUAAAUCAAACCACAAAACUUUCAACAACGGAUCUCUUGGUUCUG